rnacentral:lncRNA from 1 species
GUGGGAUGGUUUCUUUAAUGAGCAUAGAUUUUGCAGCUUCCAUGUCUUUGUAAUACUUUUUUAUCCUUUCAAUUAACCUUCUUUAUGCUGAGAGGAGGUUGCAUCAGUUUUGAAUAUUCAGGAAGUUGACAGUUGACCUAUGAGCAUAAUCAUCAUUUUCAUGGUUAAUAAUCCUUGAUGAAAAAAAAAUCUUUCAUACAAUAAG